rnacentral:rRNA from 1 species
UAUUGGACAAUGGGCGAAAGCCUGAUCCAGCAAUGCCGCGUGAGUGAUGAAGGCCUUAGGGUUGUAAAGCUCUUUUACCAGGGAUGAUAAUGACAGUACCUGGAGAAUAAGCUCCGGCUAACUCCGUGCCAGCAGCCGCGGUAAUGCGGAGGGAGCUAGCGUUGUUCGGAAUUACUGGGCGUAAAGAGUACGUAGGCGGUGAUUCAAGUCAGAGGUGAAAGCCUGGAGCUCAACUCCAGAACUGCCUUUGAAACUAGAUCGCUAGAAUCAUGGAGAGGUUAGUGGAAUUCCGAGUGUAGAGGUGAAAUUCGUAGAUAUUCGGAAGAACACCAGUGGCGAAGGCGACUAACUGGACAUGUAUGACGCUGAGUACGAA